GUGGGGAUUUGUUGCAUUACU
rnacentral:miRNA from 1 species